rnacentral:other from 1 species
GGUGGAUAAAUCCUUGAGCCUAAUAUUUGACCUAGGAAUCUGCCUUUCAUGCCUGUGUGCAUGGCUGCAAGUCGGUAAGCCUUAUGGCAUGGAAUCGGGUUCCACCUUGAACUUUCGGUUCAAGGCUGAAGCCUCACACGAUUUUCUGGUGCCGUC